UCCGGGGAGUGUCAACCCAGUGGGAAAUAUUUGACAUUAGGGGAAAGCUAUCAAGCACUGCGGCGUGGGUGAAAGAAGGCCUUCCGGUUUUUAAGCCCUUCCAGCCAGGAAGAAAGCCUUUGGGUUAAUACCCCAGAGGAAAGAACAUCCUUGGCCAGAAAGAAGCACCCGGCUACUUCCGGUCAGCAGCCGCGUUAAUACGGAAGGGUGCGGAGGCCGUUAAUUCGGAAAUACUUGGGCGUAAAGGCGCCGCGUAAGGUGGCUUUGGCAACGCCCGGUUGUGAAAGACCCCAGAGCUCAACUUGGGAACGGCAUCCGGAACCGCCCAGGCUAGAGUGCAGGAGAGGAAGGUAGAAUUUCCGGUGUAGCGGUGAAAUGCGUAGAGAUCGGGAGGAAUACCAGUGGCGAAGGCGGCCCUUCUGGCCUGACACUGACACUGAGGUGCGAAAGCGUGGGUAGCAAACAGGAUUAGAUACCCUGGUAGUCCCACGCCGUAAACGAUGUCGACUAGCCGUUGGGACCUUUAAGGACUUAGUGGCGCAGUUAACGCGAUAAGUCGACCGCCUGGGGAGUACGGCCGCAAGGUUAAAACUCAAAUGAAUUGACGGGGGCCCGCACAAGCGGUGGAGCAUGUGGUUUAAUUCGAUGCAACGCGAAGAACCUUACCUACCCUUGACAUCCAGAGAAGUUGGCAGAGAUGCCUUCGUGCCUUCGGGAACUCUGAGACAGGUGCUGCAUGGCUGUCGUCAGCUCGUGUUGUGAAAUGUUGGGUUAAGUCCCGUAACGAGCGCAACCCUUGUCCUUAUUUGCCAGCGAGUAAAGUCGGGGACUCUAAGGAGACUGCCGGUGACAAACCGGAGGAAGGUGGGGACGACGUCAAGUCAUCAUGGCCCUUACGGGUAGGGCUACACACGUGCUACAAUGGCCGGUACAAAGGGUUGCGAGACCGCGAGGUGGAGCGAAUCCCAGAAAGCCGGCCUCAGUCCGGAUCGGAGUCUGCAACUCGACUCCGUGAAGUCGGAAUCGCUAGUAAUCGUGCAUCAGAAUGGCACGGUGAAUACGUUCCCGGGCCUUGUACACACCGCCCGUCACACCAUGGGAGUGGACUGCACCAGAAGUGGUUAGCCUAACUUCGGAGGGCGAUCACCUCGGUGUGGUUCAUGACUGGGGUGAAGUCGUAACAAGGUAGCCGUAGGGGAACCUGCGGCUGGAUCACCUCCUU
rnacentral:rRNA from 1 species